GUGCCAGCAGCCGCGGUAAUACGUAGGUGGCAGCGUUAUCCGGAAUUAUUGGGCGUAAAGCGCGCGUAGGCGGUUUUUUAAGUCUGAUGUGAAAGCCCACGGCUCAACCGUGGAGGGUCAUUGGAAACUGGAAAACUUGAGUGCACAAGAGGAAAGUGGAAUUCCAUGUGUAGCGGUGAAAUGCGCAGAGAUAUGGAGGAGCGCCAGUGGCGAAGGCGACUUUCUGGUCUGUAACUGACGCUGAUGUGCGAAAGCGUGGGGAUCAA
rnacentral:rRNA from 1 species